rnacentral:rRNA from 1 species
GACGAACGCUGGCGGCGUGCUUAACACAUGCAAGUCGAACGGAAAGGCCCUGCUUUUGUGGGGUGCUCGAGUGGCGAACGGGUGAGUAACACGUGAGUAACCUGCCCUUGACUUUGGGAUAACUUCAGGAAACUGGGGCUAAUACCGGAUAGGAGCUCCUGCUGCAUGGUGGGGGUUGGAAAGUUUCGGCGGUUGGGGAUGGACUCGCGGCUUAUCAGCUUGUUGGUGGGGUAGUGGCUUACCAAGGCUUUGACGGGUAGCCGGCCUGGGAGGGUGACCGGCCACAUUGGGACUGAGAUACGGCCCAGACUCCUACGGGAGGCAGCAGUGGGGAAUAUUGCACAAUGGGCGGAAGCCUGAUGCAGCAACGCCGCGUGCGGGAGGACGGCCUUCGGGUUGUAAACCGCUUUCGCCUGUGACGAAGCGUGAGUGACGGUAAUGGGUAAAGAAGCACCGGCUAACUACGU